GACGAACGCUGGCGGCGUGCUUAACACAUGCAAGUCGAACGGAAAGGCCCUGCUUGCAGGGUACUCGAGUGGCGAACGGGUGAGUAACACGUGGGUGAUCUGCCCUGCACUUCGGGAUAAGCUUGGGAAACUGGGUCUAAUACCGGAUAGGAGCCAUCUUUAGUGUGGUGGUUGGAAAGUUUUUUCGGUGUAGGAUGAGCUCGCGGCCUAUCAGCUUGUUGGUGGGGUAAUGGCCUACCAAGGCGGCGACGGGUAGCCGGCCUGAGAGGGUGUACGGCCACAUUGGGACUGAGAUACGGCCCAGACUCCUACGGGAGGCAGCAGUGGGGAAUAUUGCACAAUGGGCGCAAGCCUGAUGCAGCGACGCCGCGUGGGGGAUGAAGGCCUUCGGGUUGUAAACUCCUGUCGCUAGGGACGAAGCUUUUUUGUGACGGUACCUAGAGAAGAAGCACCGGCUAACUACGUG
rnacentral:rRNA from 1 species